rnacentral:rRNA from 1 species
GUGGGGAAUCUUCCGCAAUGGACGAAAGUCUGACGGAGCAACGCCGCGUGAGUGAUGAAGGUCUUCGGAUUGUAAAGCUCUGUUAAUCGGGACGAAAGAGCCUAGUGUGAAUAAUGCUAGGAAGUGACGGUACCGGAAUAGAAAGCCACGGCUAACUACGUGCCAGCAGCCGCGGUAAUACGUAGGUGGCAAGCGUUGUCCGGAAUUAUUGGGCGUAAAGCGCGCGCAGUCGGAUCUGCCAGUCUGUCUUAAAAGUUCGGGGCUUAACCCCGUGAUGGGAUGGAAACUGCAGAUCUAGAGUAUCGGAGAGGAAAGUGGAAUUCCUAGUGUAGCGGUGAAAUGCGUAGAUAUUAGGAAGAACACCAGUGGCGAAGGCGACUUUCUGGACGAAAACUGACGCUGAGGCGCGAAAGCCAGGGGAGCGAACGGGAUUAGAAACCCCGGUAGUCC